GACGAGGGGUCCAAGCGUUGUUCGGAAUCAUUGGGCGUAAAGCGGGUGUAGGCGGCUCUAUAAGUCAGAAGUGAAAGCCCCGGGCUUAACCUGGGAAGUGCUUUUGAUACUGCAGAGCUUGAAUGUGGGAGAGGGUAGUGGAAUUCCAGGUGUAGUGGUGAAAUACGUAGAUAUCUGGAGGAACACCGGUGGCGAAGGCGGCUACCUGGGUAGAUACUGACGCUGAGGUGCGAAAGCGUGGGGAGCAAACAGG
rnacentral:rRNA from 1 species